rnacentral:rRNA from 1 species
AGAGUUUGAUCCUGGCUCAAAAUCAACGCUGGCGGCGUGCCUCAGACAUGCAAGUCGAACGCGAAAGCCCUUCGGGGCGAGUAGAGUGGCGCACGGGUGAGUAACACGUAGGUAAUCUACCUCUGGGUGGGGAAUAACGACCGGAAACGGUCGCUAAUACCGCAUAAUGCAGCGGCACCACAUGGUGACAGUUGUUAAAGCGGGGGAACUUCGGUCCUCGCGCCUGGAGAGGAGCCUGCGGCGGAUUAGCUAGUUGGCGGGGUAACGGCCCACCAAGGCGACGAUCCGUAGCCGGCCUGAGAGGGCGGACGGCCACACUGGCACUGACAUACGGGCCACACUCCUACGGGAGGCAGCAGUCGGGAAUUUUGGGCAAUGGGCGAAAGCCUGACCCAGCAACGCCGCGUGAAGGAUGAAGCUUCUCGGAGUGUAAACUUCAUAAGAAUGGGACGAAUAGGUGGGGGAUAACACCCCCCAUGAUGACGGUACCAUUUGUAAGCUCCGGCUAACUCCGUGCCAGCAGCCGCGGUAAUACGGGGGGAAGCAAGCGUUGUUCAGAUUU